rnacentral:misc_RNA from 1 species
UCUCCGUUGGUGAACCAGCGGAGGGAUCAUUACUGAGUUGAAAAACUCCAACCCCUGUGAACUUACCUUCUACGUUGCUUCGGCGGCCUCGGCCGCCGGAGGUUACAAACUCUUGUCUUUCUGAAUCUCUGAGAAAACAAACAAAUAAUCAAAACUUUCAACAACGGAUCUCUUGGUUCUGGCAUCGAUGAAGAACGCAGC